CCUGGCUCAGUACGAACGCUGGCGGCGUGCUUAACACAUGCAAGUCGAACGGAAAGGCCCUGCUUUUGUGGGGUGCUCGAGUGGCGAACGGGUGAGUAACACGUGAGUAACCUGCCCUUGACUUUGGGAUAACUUCAGGAAACUGGGGCUAAUACCGGAUAGGAGCUCCUGCUGCAUGGUGGGGGUUGGAAAGUUUCGGCGGUUGGGGAUGGACUCGCGGCUUAUCAGCUUGUUGGUGGGGUAGUGGCUUACCAAGGCUUUGACGGGUAGCCGGCCUGAGAGGGUGACCGGCCACAUUGGGACUGAGAUACGGCCCAGACUCCUACGGGAGGCAGCAGUGGGGAAUAUUGCACAAUGGGCGGAAGCCUGAUGCAGCAACGCCGCGUGCGGGAUGACGGCCUUCGGGUUGUAAACCGCUUUCGCCUGUGACGAAGCGUGAGUGACGGUAAUGGGUAAAGAAGCACCGGCUAACUACGUGCCAGCAGCCGCGGUGAUACGUAGGGUGCGAGCGUUGUCCGGAUUUAUUGGGCGUAAAGGGCUCGUAGGUGGUUGAUCGCGUCGGAAGUGUAAUCUUGGGGCUUAACCCUGAGCGUGCUUUCGAUACGGGUUGACUUGAGGAAGGUAGGGGAGAAUGGAAUUCCUGGUGGAGCGGUGGAAUGCGCAGAUAUCAGGAGGAACACCAGUGGCGAAGGCGGUUCCUGGGCCUUUCCUGACGCUGAGGAGCGAAAGCGUGGGGAGCGAACAGGCUUAGAUACCCUGGUAGUCCACGCUGUAAACGGUGGGUACUAGGUGUGGGGUCCAUUCCACGGGUUCCGCGCCGUAGCUAACGCUUUAAGUACCCCGCCUGGGGAGUACGGCCGCAAGGCUAAAACUCAAAGGAAUUGACGGGGCCCCGCACAAGCGGCGGAGCAUGCGGAUUAAUUCGAUGCAACGCGUAGAACCUUACCUGGGUUUGACAUGGAUCGGGAGUGCUCAGAGAUGGGUGUGCCUCUUUUGGGGUCGGUUCACAGGUGGUGCAUGGCUGUCGUCAGCUCGUGUCGUGAGAUGUUGGGUUAAGUCCCGCAACGAGCGCAACCCUUGUUCACUGUUGCCAGCACGUUAUGGUGGGGACUCAGUGGAGACCGCCGGGGUCAACUCGGAGGAAGGUGGGGAUGACGUCAAGUCAUCAUGCCCCUUAUGUCCAGGGCUUCACGCAUGCUACAAUGGCUGGUACAGAGAGUGGCGAGCCUGUGAGGGUGAGCGAAUCUCGGAAAGCCGGUCUCAGUUCGGAUUGGGGUCUGCAACUCGACCUCAUGAAGUCGGAGUCGCUAGUAAUCGCAGAUCAGCAACGCUGCGGUGAAUACGUUCCCGGGGCUUGUACACACCGCCCG
rnacentral:rRNA from 1 species